rnacentral:rRNA from 1 species
CAGUCGCCACGGUAAUACGAAGGGGGCUAGCGUUGUUCGGAAUCACUGGGCGUAAAGGGUGCGUGGGCGGAUUCUUAAGUCAGGGGUGAAAUCCCGAGGCUCAACCUCGGAACUGCCUUUGAUACUGGGGAUCUUGAGUCCGGAAGAGGUGAGUGGAACUGCGAGUGUAGAGGUGAAAUUCGUAGAUAUUCGCAAGAACACCCGUGGCGAAGGCGGCUCACUGGUCCGGAACUGACGCUGAGGCACGACAGCGUGGGGAGCAAACAGGAUUAGAUACCCCCGUAGUCCCUGUCUCUUAUAC